UGUGCGUGCGUGAGCGUGUCAGCGCGCACUUUUCUCUGUCCUUUGCGUGGUUUGUUUAAACGUUGUUACAGCUGGAAUUCUAGUGGCGCCGCCUUUGCAUUACCUUGUGAUACCAAAGUUAAACAUUGAGUGUAACUGAAUCCUCGCUUUAAUAGCUCUGCUCUCUCAUCACCUCUCAUCGCUUGGCUCGGUCGAGAGAAUAUCGCUCAGAGAGGGUUCGGAUGGGCUUUUGUGCUGUGUUAUUCGUCUUUGGACCCCGCAACCUCCCCGGAGCCCGUCUCUCGUUACCAGCCCGUCUCCAUGGCCCGGUGCUCAGACCGCUCUUGUUGUUUGAACAGGGUAUCGCAUCUAGAUUAAAACGCCAUUUCUACAACAAACCGGGUUCUUACCGUGAGAUCUUCAUCUGCCCA
rnacentral:lncRNA from 1 species